UUGUGAGCAAGAAACGCAUACGAUACAAGGAAAAGGGAUUUAAUUUGGACCUUUCAUAUAUUUGCCCUAAAAUAACUGCGAUGGGAUAUCCUGCUCCGGACAUUAUUGAAGGCAUUUACAGAAAUC